GGGGAUGAAAGGCUUCGACAGCGUGAUUUCUAGCGUUCGAUCGCUUCUGUUCGGGAUGGCAACGGUUCCCGUUACCCACAUGUUGCACCCAAUAAUUGCCGACAAUCUUGUUAGCAAGGCCAACCGCAUUGCUGAGGGUGUCCUGGCUCGUCUGAGUCCGGUUCCUCUGUACGCGAUGGCCGCUUAGUCCGCCCAGCGCGGACACGUCUCUCCUCUUACCCUCGCUACGGGGAUGAGGCGUCAUCAGCGAGGUGUACUGCGCCCUGAUGUGCACGCAGUAGACAUACAGCAUCACCCCUCUCUGCCGUUCUUCGUCUCUUUCUUAUGGCAGGGAGUACCGAAAGAGACAUGACAGUACGGGCACGUUCUCUACACGUUGGACCCGGGUUCAAUUCCCGGCAUCUCCACCA
rnacentral:tmRNA from 8 species